UGGGGGAAACCCUGAUGCAGCCAUGCCGCGUGUGUGAAGAAGGCCUUCGGGUUGUAAAGCACUUUCAGUAGGGAGGAAGGUAGUGUAGUUAACACCUGCAUUAUUUGACGUUACCUACAGAAGAAGCACCGGCUAACUCCGUGCCAGCAGCCGCGGUAAUACGGAGGGUGCGAGCGUUAAUCGGAAUUACUGGGCGUAAAGCGCAUGCAGGCGGCCUGUUAAGUCAGAUGUGAAAGCCCGGGGCUUAACCUCGGAAUUGCAUUUGAAACUGGCAGGCUAGAGUCUUGUAGAGGGGGUAGAAUUUCAGGUGUAGCGGUGAAAUGCGUAGAGAUCUGAAGGAAUACCAGUGGCGAAGGCGGCCCCCUGGACAAAGACUGACGCUCAGAUGCGAAAGCGUGGGGAGCAAACAGGAUUAGAUACUCUGGUAG
rnacentral:rRNA from 1 species